UGAAUAUGGGGGGACCAUCCUCCAAGGCUAAAUACUCCUGACUGACCGAUAGUGAACCAGUACCGUGAGGGAAAGGCGAAAAGAACCCCGGCGAGGGGAGUGAAAAAGAACCUGAAACCGUGUACGUACAAGCAGUGGGAGCACGCUUAGGCGUGUGACUGCGUACCUUUUGUAUAAUGGGUCAGCGACUUAUAUUCUGUAGCAAGGUUAACCGAAUAGGGGAGCCGAAGGGAAACCGAGUCUUAACUGGGCGUUAAGUUGCAGGGUAUAGACCCGAAACCCGGUGAUCUAGCCAUGGGCAGGUUGAAGGUUGGGUAACACUAACUGGAGGACCGAACCGACUAAUGUUGAAAAAUUAGCGGAUGACUUGUGGCUGGGGGUGAAAGGCCAAUCAAACCGGGAGAUAGCUGGUUCUCCCCGAAAGCUAUUUAGGUAGCGCCUCGUGAAUUCAUCUCCGGGGGUAGAGCACUGUUUCGGCAAGGGGGUCAUCCCGACUUACCAACCCGAUGCAAACUGCGAAUACCGGAGAAUGUUAUCACGGGAGACACACGGCGGGUGCUAACGUCCGUCGUGAAGAGGGAAACAACCCAGACCGCCAGCUAAGGUCCCAAAGUCAUGGUUAAGUGGGAAACGAUGUGGGAAGGCCCAGACAGCCAGGAUGUUGGCUUAGAAGCAGCCAUCAUUUAAAGAAAGCGUAAUAGCUCACUGGUCGAGUCGGCCUGCGCGGAAGAUGUAACGGGGCUAAACCAUGCAC
rnacentral:rRNA from 1 species